AAAAUAAAAAAAGAUAUUAUAGAUAAUUGAUGUCUCGAUUGAUUCUGCCUUGCAAAGGUUCGAGCUUUUCGAAGACAUGCCUCAUGGGUUUGGUCUCCUCUGCUCCUCUUCUGCCGAGUCGUGUGAAGGCGCAUUCGGUGAAACCUAGUACUUUAUACAGACGAUUCCUUAGUUCCAAGGCUACUAAUUGGAAUUGUCGGGUACCGUAUUACCCCUUGCAUCAUUUAGCAAAUACUAGACGGAGAUUAAUUUGCUCGGUUGCAACAGAACCGUUGUUCGAAGCAAGUCGAAGAAUUGUAUAUGGAUGCACCGAUAGAGAUCUUUUUAAAGGAUUACAAGCAACCCGAUUACUACUUCGACACGGUGGAUCUGAGUUUUACGUUGGGUGAGGAGAAAACAAUCGUUUAUUCGAAAAUAGCUGUCUCUCCCAGACUUGAAGGUAGUUCGUCACCUCUGAUCUUGGAUGGAGCUGAUUUGAAACUGAUUUCAUUGAAGGUCAAUGGUAACGAGCUCAAGGAGAACGAUUUCCGUGUAGACUCACGCCACCUCACUAUUUCGUCACCUCCAACCGGUAAAUUUACUUUGGAAGUCGUGACUGAAAUCUACCCAGAGAAGAACACUUCCUUGGACGGGCUCUAUAAGUCAUCAGGAAACUUCUGCACGCAAUGUGAAGCAGAAGGUUUUCGGAAAAUUACAUACUAUCAGGAUCGCCCCGAUAUAAUGGCGAAGUACACCUGUCGCAUUGAAGGGGACAAGUCACUGUACCCUGUACUUUUGUCUAACGGGAAUCUCGUAGAGGAAGGAGACUUGGAGGGAAACAAGCAUUACGCAAUAUGGGAGGAUCCUUUUGUGAAACCGUGCUAUCUUUUCGCAUUAGUUGCGGGAAAAUUGGAAAGUAGAGAUGAUACUUUCACAACUCGUUCGGGUCGAAAGGUCUUGCUUCGAAUAUGGACCCCACCACAAGAUCUUCCCAAGACAGCACAUGCUAUGUACUCUCUCAAAGCUGCAAUGAAAUGGGACGAAGAUGUUUUUGGGCUUGAAUACGACUUGGAUCUGUUUAACAUUGUAGCUGUUCCAGAUUUUAACAUGGGAGCGAUGGAAAACAAAAGUUUGAAUAUUUUUAAUUCCAAACUCGUCCUUGCAUCUCCGGAAACUGCUACAGAUGCAGAUUAUGCUGCAAUUUUGGGUGUGAUUGGGCACGAGUAUUUUCACAACUGGACAGGAAACAGAGUCACGUGUCGGGAUUGGUUCCAGCUCAGCUUAAAGGAAGGCCUCACUGUUUUCCGAGAUCAGGAAUUUUCGUCCGAUUUGGGAAGCCGCACAGUGAAACGAAUUGCUGAUGUUUCAAAGCUUCGAACCUAUCAAUUUCCUCAGGAUGCGGGCCCCAUGGCUCAUCCCGUGCGUCCUCACUCUUAUAUUAAGAUGGAUAACUUCUACACAGGCAAGUAUUUUCGUCUGUUUAUGAGAAGGUUAGAUAUUUAUUCUCUCUCCUCAGAUAUUUUAGUUUCUCGACUUUGAUUAAUGGCUAAAUCUUAAUUCUUGCUUAACUAAUACAAUUCUUUUGAUUAGGGAGCUGAAGUGGUGAGGAUGUACAAAACCUUGUUGACUAGUUCCGGAUUUAGGAAGGGAAUGGAUCUUUAUUUCAAGAGGCAUGAUGGGCAAGCUGUGACAUGUGAAGAUUUCUUUGCUGCCAUGAGAGAUGCAAACGGUGCCGAUUUCUCCAAUUUCUUGUUAUGGUACUCACAAGCAGGUACCCCUCGUGUGAAGGUUGUUUCUGCCUACAAUGCCGAAGCCAAGACAUUCUCCCUCAAGUUUAGUCAAGAGGUUCCUUCUACACCGGGCCAGCCCGUCAAAGAGCCCAUGUUCAUUCCGGUAGCUUUGGGCCUGGUGGGGUCCACAGGAAAGGAUAUUCCUUUAUCCUCCGUUUACCAUGACGGUAAAUUGGAGACUCUCUCUAGCAAUGGUCAGGCAGUUCACACUACCGUUCUCCGAGUUACAAAGAAAGAAGAAGAAUUUGUUUUCAAUGACGUACCGGAGCGACCUGUACCUUCGAUACUGAGAGGUUACAGUGCUCCUAUUAGACUGGAUUCGGAUCUCACCGAUGCUGACCUGUACUUUCUCCUUGCUAAUGAUUCAGAUGAAUUUAACCGAUGGGAGGCUGGGCAAGUAUUGGCUAGAAAAUUGAUGCUGAGCCUCGUUUCCGAUUCUCAGCAAAACAAGCCAUUGGUUUUAAAUCCGCAGUUUUUGCAUGGAAUUAAAAGUAUUCUUGGCGAUCCAAUCUUGGAUAAGGAAUUCAUUGCAAAGGCAUUAACUCUGCCCGGUGAAGGAGAAAUAAUGGACAUGCUGGAAGUUGCCGAUCCCGAUGCAGUUCAUGCAGUUAGAACUUUCAUCAGAAAGCAGCUCGCUUCUGAAUUAAAACAAGAAUUAAUUAACACUGUGAAAAACAACAGAAGCUCUGAGCAGUACGUGUUUGACCAUCCAAACAUGGCUAGACGUGCUCUAAAAAACGUCGCCCUUGCGUAUCUCGGAUCACUUGAAGAUGAAGAGAUAACCGAGCUUAUGUUGCACGAAUACAAAACUGCUACAAAUUUGACUGAGCAAUUUUCAGCACUCGUAGCUAUUGACCAGAAACCUGGUCAAACUCGGGACGAGGUUUUGGCCGAUUUCUACACCAAGUGGCAGCAUGAUUACUUGGUGAUAAAUAAAUGGUUGGCACUCCAAGCUAUGUCAGAUGUACCUGGAAAUGUUGAGAAUGUCCGUAAACUCCUAAAUCAUCCUGCCUUCGACAUUCGUAAUCCAAAUAAGGUGUACUCACUCAUUGGAGGAUUCUGUGGGUCCCCGGUGAACUUUCAUGCCAAAGAUGGAUCGGGCUAUAGAUUUUUGGGCGAAGUGGUUGUGCAGCUAGACAAGCUAAACCCACAGGUGGCGUCGAGGAUGGUUUCCGCUUUUUCUAGAUGGAAAAGAUAUGAUGAAACCCGACAAACUCUUGCAAAGGCUGAGCUGGAAAUGAUCUUGUCUGCUAACGGGCUGUCGGAGAAUGUGUUUGAGAUUGCAUCCAAGAGUUUGGCUGCUUGAACCUUUUCUUAAGAGCAGAUGAAUUUUAUUUAAUUUGAACCAAAACAUAUGUUAUAAUUUGACUUGUUAAAUUAUUACUAUACCAAUGACUCUUGCUGUUAAAUUAUAUUUUAAUUUAGACUAAAUAAAUAUUUUUACAUUUA